ensembl:antisense Gm29571 predicted gene 29571
AUGUGUUUUCACAGAAACCCAGGCCCAGGGAGAACAUUUACCCCUCUUCCUACAUUUCAGAGCUGAAAAUGUCGGAAUUGUCAUGGUAAUGCCCAUAGUUGAUGUGACAGAUACUGAGAAGGAAAAACACGCUUGCCACAUGUGAAAACUGCCUGGUUGGUUCUGCUCUGAGUGCCUCUCUGGAGGGCACAUUGAUGGAUUUGACAAUCACUUAAUUCUACUAGAGCCUGACCUUCAGUCUGGAAGUCAGAUAUACGCAGCAGAGACAUAGAUGAUAGCCGCAGGCUGCUGCUGGUGGGCAGCUGACAGAGUCCACUUUAAAGGACUGCCUUCAGUACCAUCUACAUUCUUCUACCUGGGACUGUGUGUGGCCAUGCGGACAGGCUCUCACCUUCACUAAACAAUUCAACUGCUGAAUUCCAACUAUCACGACAACCAUUUACACCAGUAAAAUGAACCAGAGAAGUCAGUGUAUCAGAACCUAAGACGGGAAAACUCUAUUGGAUUUCCUUUUACCUUAACUCUUAGAUUUUGGUGGCUCCUGGUCUUCUUAAGUGAGUGGCAGUAUGACUCCAAGCUUUUUCCUGUGUCUCCACAAGGUCUCUCUCCUUAUAUGUGUCUUUGUUCCUUUGGGGGGUCUCUUAUUUGAACACUGUCAUUAACAUUAGUGCUUGGCCUAACCUAGUUUGAUAGUCUUAAAUUUUAUCUUCCCUUUACCUAUAAAAUCCCUAUUUCUAAAUAAAGGUAUAGUCUGUGAUGUACAGAGCACAAAAAUCUUGGAGUAAAGAAAGCCCCACUUCACUUACUAUAUGAGAGAAGAGUGGGUGGUGUUCCCAGGGGUUGGGGAAGGUCUGUAAAGGUGUCUCCUGUGAGAUAUAUUGGGAAAUGAGGGUAUAAGUGACUUCGUGGUGGAUCUCACAGUCUAGGAGUAGAGACAGGCUGAUAAGUGCCUAUAGUGCAGUGAGAGUUAAUGGUAGAUUAUAUAACACUAACUUAGAGGGGGAGUGUGCCUAGGGAUGCAAGAUGAGGUCAUCUCAAUGAGGGGAUAUUGAGUUGUCUUGAGCAAAGCAUAGAAAUACUGAUGAAUGCUAGAUUCAAAAUUGAGGCAAUCCUUUUUUUUUUUUUUUACAACCUUAAAAAAUCAAGGUCUUUGCAUUUCACUAGAUUGCAUCCUCUUUUCCAUAGGAAGGCACUUGAGUAUAUAUUACAGAACUGACAUGGGUUUGAAAGCUGCGUAUGGGCCCAUUAAUUUUUGGUAGACACCUAUUUCUUGCUCCUAGAAUCAUAGUUGUUGCUUGAUGUUUCUUCUUGGCCCAUUGCUCCUUCUCUAGUUUUCUAUUAACCACUUAAUUUAAUAAACCUUCAUCUGUACUGACAAUAAAUGUGUUAAUAUUCCUCCAUAUCACAAUAAGUGGCCUUUCAUGGUGUGGCUAGUAGCCAUGUCUCUGAUACACUAGAGUUCUAUCUCUUGGUGCAGAUAUGAAAGGUGUUGCUUCCCAUGAGGUCUUUCUCACAGAGGGCCAAGAGGUUCCCGAAGUGCCUAGACAGGUACUUCUUGUCAUUUAGCAGUCUGUUUGUCUACAGUCUGAAAGUGGCCCAAAUUUUCAUAGAAAUUGGAAACUCAGGGGGUAUCAAAAGGCCAAAGUUUCUUGCUUAAAAGGUUUUCUGGUCCCAGGUUUUAUUUGCUAUUAUAAGAAUCAGCCUUCAUAGCAUUGUUAAUAUGAAUGUCUACAGACAUGGUAUUUUUCCUGAUUUAUUGCUUGACAUUUAGUUCUUCAAUCUUAAUGUCUAGAUUUUUUUUUCUUUUUUCAAUUCCAUCUUUAGCUUUGUCAACAAUGGGAUUCAAAUGAUGAAAUUUAAUUAUUUGAGAUAUACAGUGAGUCCAUGUGAUUCCACUAUAAAAAAGAACAGAAAAAA